AGUGAAAUAACUGGGUCAGGUUCCAUUCCUUGUUUUUGGAGGAAUAUCCAUAGUUCUUUCCAGAGGGGCUGCACCAAUUUGCAGUCCUACUAGCAUU
rnacentral:pre_miRNA from 1 species